UAACAUCUUGAAGCAGGUCCU
rnacentral:piRNA from 1 species